GGCUCCGUGGUCUAGUGGUAUGAUUCCUGCUUUGGGCGCUUCAUACACACUCAAAUUUGCAGGAGGUCCCGCUUUCGAAUAGCGGCGGAGCCC